GACGAACGCUGGCGGCGUGCUUAACACAUGCAAGUCGAACGGAAAGGCCCUGCUCUUGUGGGGUGCUCGAGUGGCGAACGGGUGAGUAACACGUGAGUAACCUGCCCUUGACUUUGGGAUAACUUCAGGAAACUGGGGCUAAUACCGGAUAGGAGCUCCUGCUGCAUGGUGGGGGUUGGAAAGUUUCGGCGGUUGGGGAUGGACUCGCGGCUUAUCAGCUUGUUGGUGGGGUAGUGGCUUACCAAGGCUUUGACGGGUAGCCGGCCUGAGAGGGUGACCGGCCACAUUGGGACUGCGGUACGGCCCAGACUCCUACGGGAGGCAGCAGUGGGGAGUAUUGCACAAUGGGCGGACGCCUGAUGCAGCGACGCCGCGUGCGGGAUGACGGGCUUCGGGUUGUAAACCGCUUUCGCCGGUGACGAAGCGUGAGUGACGGUAAUGGGUAAAGAAGCACCGGCUAACUACGUG
rnacentral:rRNA from 1 species